rnacentral:rRNA from 1 species
UAGUAACGGCGAGUGAAGAGGGAAAAGCUCAAAUUUUGAAUCUGGCGCCUUUGGCUCCCGAGUUGUAAUCUAGAGAAGUGUCUUCCGCAUAGGACCGUGUAAAAGUUCCCUGGAACGGGACGUCAUAGAGGGUGAGAAUCCCGUACAUGCCACGGACUACCUUUGCUCUGUGAUACACUCUCAACGAGUCGAGUUGUUUGGGAAUGCAGCUCAAAAUGGGUGGUAAAUUCCAUCUAAAGCUAAAUAUUGGCGAGAGACCGAUAGCGAACAAGUACCGUGAGGGAAAGAUGAAAAGCACUUUGGAAAGAGAGUGAAACAGUACGUGAAAUUGUUGAAAGGGAA